rnacentral:rRNA from 1 species
UACGGAGGAUGCAAGCGUUAUCCGGAAUGACUAGGCGUAAAGGGCACGUAGGCGGUGAAUCCGGUUGAAAGUGAAAGUCGCCAGCUCAACUGGCGGAAUGCUUUCAAAACCAAUUCACUUGAGUAAGAUAGAGGAUAGUGGAAUUUCGUGUGUAGAGAUAAAAUUCACAGAUAUACGAAGGAACACCAAAGGCGAAGGCAGCUUUCUGGGUCUCUACUGACGCUGAGGUGCGAAAGCAUAGGGAGCAAACAGG